rnacentral:rRNA from 1 species
GACGAACGCUGGCGGCGUGCUUAACACAUGCAAGCCGAGCGGUAAGGCCCUUUCGGGGGUACACGAGCGGCGAACGGGUGAGUAACACGUGGGUGACCUGCCCUCAGCUCUGGGAUAAGCCUGGGAAACCGGGUCUAAUACCGGAUAUGACUCCAUGACGCAUGUUGUGGGGUGGAAAGCCUUGUGCGGCUGAGGAUGGGCCCGCGGCCUAUCAGCUUGUUGGUGGGGUGAUGGCCUACCAAGGCGACGACGGGUAGCCGGCCUGAGAGGGCGACCGGCCACACUGGGACUGAGACACGGCCCAGACUCCUACGGGAGGCAGCAGUGGGGAAUCUUGCGCAAUGGGCGAAAGCCUGACGCAGCGACGCCGCGUGAGGGAUGACGGCCUGUGUAAC